rnacentral:rRNA from 1 species
UACGGAAGGGGCAAGCGUUGUUCGGAAUCAUUGGGCGUAAAGGGCGCGUAGGUGGUUCUGUAUGUCUACCGUGAAAGUGUACAGCUCAACUGUAUUUUGUCGGUAGAAACUUGCAGGACUUGAGGCUGGGAGGGGCUGGUGGAAUUCCCUGUGUAGCGGUGAAAUGCGCAGAUAUCGGGAGGAACACCUAUGGCGAAGGCAGCUCGCUGGGACGUUACUGACGCUGAGACGCGAAAGCGUGGGGAGCAAACAGG